AGGUAGGACAUGCUGGACUGGCUGAUCCCACCUGAAUGAAUGAACAAAGCAGAACAAGUUUACCAGCAAACCAGACCCUUAACUCUUGACUGAAGGUGCAGGGGGCUCACCCCCCUCAGCAAUGAAGCUGGCUGGUAAAAAGGUUAUUUGGAAAUGUGCCUCACCAGUAAGAGAUGGCAGUUUUGACUUGGACCCCGUAAGAAAGGCCUUCGGCGCAACGUUGGGUGAGGCAUCUGACUCUGUGUACCUGAGCCUCCAG